ensembl:misc_RNA 7SK 7SK RNA
GGAUGUGAGGGCGAUCUGUUUGCAAAAUCUGUCAAUCCACUGAUCUGAUCGCCAUGGUUGAUUUGGCGGAUCUGACUGGCUAGGAAGGUGUCCCCUUCCUCCCUCACCGCUCCAUGUGCAUCCCUCCCAAAGCUGUGUGCAUGGUCAAAGAGGAUGGCCUUCCCUAAAUAGAGACAGACUGGUCUUCGGUAGAAGGUAUACGAGUAGCUGUGCUCCCCUGCUAGAACCUCCAAACAAGCUCUCAAGAGAAGCAUCCAUCCUACGAGUGAAGCCAGAAUCCAAAGCUAAUCCUUUUAUCCUCCAUGUUUAGAAUGUUUUAUACCCAAUACUACUUGUACUU